rnacentral:rRNA from 1 species
AAUCAACGCUGGCGGCGUGCCUCAGACAUGCAAGUCGAACGAUUAAAGCUCUCUUCGGAGAGUGUAUAGAGUGGCGCACGGGUGAGUAACACGUAAGUAAUCUACCUUUGAGUGGGGAAUAACCCGGGGAAACCCGAGCUAAUACCGCAUAAUGCAGCGGCACCGCAAGGUGACAGUUGUUAAAGGAGCAAUCCGCUUAAAGAGGAGCUUGCGGCAGAUUAGCUAGUGGUAAGGUAAUGGCUUACCAAGGCUUCGAUCUGUAUCCGGCCUGAGAGGGCGGUCGGACACACUGACACUGAAUAACGGGUCAGACUCCUACGGGAGGCAGCAGUCGGGAAUUUUGGGCAAUGGGCGAAAGCCUGACCCAGCAACGCCGCGUGAAGGAUGAAGUAUUUCGGUAUGUAAACUUCGAAAGAAUGGGAAGAAUCAAUGACGGUACCAUUUAUAAGGUCCGGCUAACUACGUGCCAGCAGCCGCAGUAAU